rnacentral:tRNA from 2 species
CUAAGGAUGGUUCUUCAGAAGCUUGCUUCUAUCGAACCGUUUUAGAAACAUCAGUGGCCAACGAUCGUCAGGAUUGUUGAGCUGCAUUGGCGGGAUUUCGCCGUCUUCGUUUCUCUUUCUUCGCGGACGAACACGCGCUGGGGCUGCAAGCUUGCAGAAUCCCUGGUCCUUGACUGGAUAUGCGUUAGGGGCUUGUAGCUCAGUUGGUUAGAGCGCGCGCUUGAUAAGCGUGAGGUCGGAAGUUCAAGUCUUCCCAGGCCCACCACACUCAUCGAGUGAGCAUUCGUCUUCUGGUUACGGGGCCAUAGCUCAGCUGGGAGAGCGCGUGCUUUGCAAGCAUGAGGUCGUCGGUUCGAUCCCGUCUGGCUCCACCAGAUGGUUUGAUCAUCGACUGAUCGCAUCUAAUCGUCCGCGAAACAUCACUUCGCACUUACUAGUCCGGAUGGACAGUGAGCUGCGUGAUUUCUGACAUCGUAAAGAGGAGAUCGAUCCGAGUUGGAUCGGGCAACAAGCAAUUGUUGCGCGAUACUUCAUUAUCUCCGGAUCAUUUCGGCGCUCGUGCGUCUUUCAAUGUAGCUCACAAGGCUGCGUUUGAGAGACAUGCGAGUUGUAAAUGAUCCUUUUAGCGAAGCUUGACCGCCUCGCUAUCGGAACGAUCUUACGAAGCAAGCUGGUCUUUCUAAUCAUUGUCCGGCUGUGAAUAGCGUUCAUCGAGGACGCGCGCCGCAAGGCAGUUCUACAGACAACAUUCUGCCGAGUGUGUGGACAUUGAUAAUGAGAGC